GAUGAAGAACGCAGCGAAAUGCGAUACUUGGUGUGAAUUACAGAAUCCCGUGAACCAUCGAGUCUUUGAACGCAAGUUGCGCCCGAAGCCAUCAGGUUGAGGGCACGUCUGCCUGGGCGUCACAUAUCGUUGCCCAAUGCCUAUUGCAGUGCAAUAGGAAUUUCUAGGGCGAAUGAUGGCUUCCCGUGAGCGUUGUUGCCUCGCGGUUGGUUGAAAAUCGAGUCCUUGAUAGGGUGUGCCAUGGUAGAUGGUGGUCGAGUUAGAACGAUACCGAUCAUGUGCAUGCUCCCCAAAAUAUGGCCUCUAUGACCCACACGCGUCUUUUGACGCUCAUGACGAGACCUCAGGUCAGGCGGGGCUACCCGCUGAAUUUAAGCAUAUCAAUAAGCGGAGGA
rnacentral:misc_RNA from 1 species